rnacentral:ncRNA from 1 species
UUGAUUGGGGUGGUCCAUAUGCCAAACUGUAAGGCAGGUCUCAUUAGGCCAGUUCAAGGAGGAUGGAAACCUCUGGUAGAGGAGAAGAGUAAAAACUUGCUUGAUCUUGACUUUCAGUAUGAAACAGACUGUGAAAGCAGAGCCUCAUCAUUCUUCUGACUGCUUGGGUUUUGCCCAAAAC